AUGAUUCUUGAAGAUGAGAGAGGAUUGAGCUUAGAAUUCUUUUACGACAAUGUGGGUAGCCGUGUCAAACCAGCAAGAGACCCAAACCGCAUUAGAGCUUUUCUUCAGACAUACAAAGAGAUUGAAAAUGCAGACACCCACUUUCAACUUUAGGAAGAUCUCAUUGAGCACCAUUGA
rnacentral:rRNA from 1 species